rnacentral:rRNA from 1 species
AUUGAACGCUGGCGGCAUGCCUUACACACGCAAGUCGAACGGCAGCACGGGAGCAAUCCUGGUGGCGAGUGGCGAACGGGUGAGUAAUAUAUCGGAACGUGCCCAGUCGUGGGGAUAACGUAGCGAAAGCUACGCUAAUACCGCAUACGAUCUAUGGAUGAAAGCGGGGGAUCGCAAGACCUCGCGCGAUUGGAGCGGCCGAUAUCAGAUUAGGUAGUUGGUGAGGUAAAGGCUCACCAAGCCGACGAUCUGUAGCUGGUCUGAGAGGACGACCAGCCACACUGGACUGAGACACGGCCCAGACUCCUACGGAGGCAGCAGUGGGGAAUUUUGGGACAAUGGGCGCAAGCCUGAUCCAGCAAUGCCGCGUGCAGGA